rnacentral:rRNA from 1 species
ACCAAUUUGGUCCUAGUCCUCCUCUUGGUUUUUUCUAAAAUGAUACAUGCAAGUCAUCGACAACCCGGUGAGUAAAUAUAAAAGUAUUCUUCUAAAAGAAGAAUCACCACACCAACGGUAUCAGGAUUCAACAUUGAACCCAUAACACCUAGCAUCCCACACCUGCAGUACUAAACAUUAUACAAUAUGUACACACUUGAUAUAGUUACAGAAAAAAGGGUUGGUAAAUUAUGUGCCAGCCACCGCGGUUAUACAUAAAACCCUAAUCAAGAACUUAACGGUAAAAAGUGGUUAGAAAAACUCAAUAAAACAUAAAGAAAGAUCCCCUCUAGUAGUAAUAAACUUUAUAGAAAGAUCAAGCACAAAUUAAAAUAAACCUUAUGUUAAUAUUGCUUCUCCAUUUAUUCGAAGCCACUAAAGCUCAAAAAUAAACUGGGAUUAGAUACCCCACUAUAUGAGCCAUAAAACACACUACCCGAGAACUACGAACUAAAGUUUAAAACUCAAAGGACUUGGCGGUUUUUUAGACCUACCUGGAGGAGCUUGCAACCUAACCGAUAACCCACGAAACACCUUACCAGCCUUUGAAAAAUCAACCUGUAUACCAUCGUCGUCAGUCUACUCCUUAAGAAAGUAAACACAAUGAAAACUCCUUCCUUACGUCAGAUCGAGGUGCAGUUAAUAUGCUGGGGGUAAGUGAGCUACAAUAUUUCACCCUCAAUUUUGAAUAAUCCCUUGAAAUAAAGAUUUGAAACAGGAUUCAGAAGUAAUAUCUACCAGAAAAUAGAUAUGAACAAACCCAAGCUCUAAAAUGCG